rnacentral:rRNA from 1 species
GUCGGGUUGUUGCUGGCCUCUAGGGGCAUGUGCACGCCUGCCACCGUUUUCAACCACCUGUGCACCUUUUGUAGACUUGGAUACCGUUCGAGGGUUAACCUCGGUUUUGAGGACUGCUGCGCUGUACAAGUCAGCUUUCCUCACAUUUCCGGUCUAUGCCUUUACAUAUACCCCGUAAUGAAUGUAUUAGAAUGUUUUGUUACUGGCCUCAGUGCCUUUAAUCAAAUACAACUUUCAGCAACGGAUCUCUUGGCUCUCGCAUCGAUGAAGAACGCAGCGAAAUGCGAUAAGUAAUGUGAAUUGCAGAAUUCAGUGAAUCAUCGAAUCUUUGAACGCACCUUGCGCUCCUUGGUAUUCCGAGGAGCAUGCCUGUUUGAGUGUCAUUAAAUUCUCAACCUAACUAGCUUUUUGUGAGCUUUGGGUUAGGCUUGGAUGUGGGGGUUGCGGGCUUCACAGAAGUCGGCUCUCCUUAAAUGCAUUAGUGGAACCUUUCGUUGACCUGUUCCUGGUGUGAUAAUUAUCUACACCGCGGGCGGUUAGCUCAUUAUCAAUGAUAAUGGGGGCUCUGCUUCUAACUUGUCCUUACCGGACACUUUGACCAUUUGACCUCAAAUCAGG